ACUCCUACGGGAGGCAGCAGUGGGGAAUAUUGCACAAUGGGGGAAACCCUGAUGCAGCCAUGCCGCGUGUGUGAAGAAGGCCUUCGGGUUGUAAAGCACUUUCAGUAGGGAGGAAGGUAGUGUAGUUAACACCUGCAUUAUUUGACGUUACCUACAGAAGAAGCACCGGCUAACUCCGUGCCAGCAGCCGCGGUAAUACGGAGGGUGCGAGCGUUAAUCGGAAUUACUGGGCGUAAAGCGCAUGCAGGCGGCCUGUUAAGUCAGAUGUGAAAGCCCGGGGCUUAACCUCGGAAUUGCAUUUGAAACUGGCAGGCUAGAGUCUUGUAGAGGGGGGUAGAAUUUCAGGUGUAGCGGUGAAAUGCGUAGAGAUCUGAAGGAUACCGGUGGCGAAGGCGGCCCCCUGGACAGAUACUGACACUCAGAUGCGAAAGCGUGGGGAGC
rnacentral:rRNA from 1 species